AAAACUUUUGAUUAGUAUUGACAGCUACUAAAUAUUUAUGCCGCUUUCUUUUUAGUUUUCAUGAUUUCAUGAAAUCAUUCACGAAUUUUUGUUCAAUUCUGCAAUAUAAACCACACAAUUCGUACAUGAACGAAGCUGUUAAAGCGCGCCAUCUGUGGCAUCACCAUAAUAACACUUAACUCCAAAGUACUGUGCUAUUGUGACUUCAAGCUUAAACAUAACUGUAAUCCAAAUAAUAGGAAUUUCAAUAAUAAAAAUUGUAGCAGUCUGCGCUGUCAGUUAAAAAUAUUCACUUAUACCUCUUAUGAUAAAAGCUGAGAAAUAUAUUUAUCGCGUAAAUUGUAGAUACGCCCAUAUUGUUUCUGGCUACCCUGUCGGAAAAAUAUUCGGAUAUUCCUUUUAUCAUAACAGCUAAGCAAUACAUUUAUUACGAGUAUUAUUGGUAUGAAAAAUUUUUCCAUUAGAUAUACUGACAUAUUGCGUUUAUCUCAUGAAGUCUACAUAAAAUCGGCAACUUUAUAAUUUCAAAAAGUUAUUUUGUUGAUCGUAAUAACCAUUUUUACUACUAUAGGAUUCAAUUUAAUAUAAUUACGCUUAACAAUGCCUCGAAAAAGGUGUAUAGGAGUGUCAGCUGAUCGCAAAAAACGUAAUUGCCUUCCAAUAAACCAAGAUAUGCAACAACGGCAGAUCUAUUUGCAAUUUAGUAGUGUUUUGGUGCCAUCAUAUUUUCAGCAAUUAAGUGAAGAUGCCAGUGCAAGGAGGCGGCAAGAAAAGCUACCAAAGACGUAUUGCGGUGCACGUCUUUUCCUUAAAGACGAUGAGAUAGAAUCAAAUAGUGUUGAACGCAUGGAGAAGAUAUUUGAGUUUUGCUCAGCUAAACUUUCUCCAGGCGAGGCAGCUGAUAAUACUGCAUCCAUCUGUUGUCACAAGAGCUAGGUGAGUUUACCACCAAUUUCUGUCCGCGAUGAGC